GACGAACGCUGGCGGCGUGCUUAACACAUGCAAGUCGAACGGAAAGGCCCUGCUUUUGUGGGGUGCUCGAGUGGCGAACGGGUGAGUAACACGUGAGUAACCUGCCCUUGACUUUGGGAUAACUUCAGGAAACUGGGGCUAAUACCGGAUAGGAGCUCCUGCUGCAUGGUGGGGGUUGGAAAGUUUCGGCGGUUGGGGAUGGACUCGCGGCUUAUCAGCUUGUUGGUGGGGUAGUGGCUUACCAAGGCUUUGACGGGUAGCCGGCCUGAGAGGGUGACCGGCCACAUUGGGACUGAGAGACGGCCCAGACUCCUACGGGAGGCAGCAGUGGGGAAUAUUGCACAAUGGGCGGAAGCCUGAUGCAGCAGCGCCGCGUGCGGGAUGACGGCCUUCGGGUUGUAAACCGCUUUCGCCUGUGACGAAGCGUGAGUGACGGUAAUGGGUAAAGAAGCACCGGCUAACUACGUG
rnacentral:rRNA from 1 species